AUUGAACGCUGGCGGCAGGCUUAACACAUGCAAGUCGAACGGUAGCAGGAGAAAGCUUGCUUUCUUGCUGACGAGUGGCGGACGGGUGAGUAAUGCUUGGGAAUCUGGCUUAUGGAGGGGGAUAACGACGGGAAACUGUCGCUAAUACCGCGUAGUAUCGGAAGAUGAAAGUGCGGGACCGCAAGGCCGCAUGCCAUAAGAUGAGCCCAAGUGGGAUUAGGUAGUUGGUGGGGUAAAGGCCUACCAAGCCUGCGAUCUCUAGCUGGUCUGAGAGGAUGGCCGGCCACACUGGAACUGAGACACGGUCCAGACUCCUACGGGAGGCAGCAGUGGGGAAUAUUGCGCAAUGGGGGGAACCCUGACGCAGCCAUGCCGCGUGAAUGAAGAAGGCCUUCGGGUUGUAAAGUUCUUUCGGUAUUGAGGAAGGAGUGUAUGUUAAUAGCAUACAUUAUUGACGUUAAAUACAGAAGAAGCACCGGCUAACUCCGUG
rnacentral:rRNA from 1 species